GCCGUUUUUAUUGGGCCUAAAGCGUUCGUAGCUGGCUUGAUAAGUCUCUGGUGAAAUCUCACGGCUUAACCGUGAGAAUUGCUGGAGAUACUAUUAGGCUUGAGGCCGGGAGAGGCUGGAGGUACUCCCAGGGUAGGGGUGAAAUCCUAUAAUCCUGGGAGGACCACCUGUGGCGAAGGCGUCCAGCUGGAACGGACCUGACGGUGAGUAACGAAAGCCAGGGGCGC
rnacentral:rRNA from 1 species